ensembl:lncRNA
UGUAAUCCUUUGUCCUUCUGACAAUAGUACUGCACUGGGUAUGGUUCCCUCGUCCCCUUGUUUUUAGUCGGUCACCCUACCUGAAAAAUACUUUUGAUCUUGGGUGGUGUUUUUAUACCCCAAGUUCCCCUACAAUUGACCCAUGUUACAUUUAGCUCCACUUUCCCCUAUUACUUACAGUGAAUUGCGGCGCGUUGAAGCCCUUAAGUCUAAUGCAUCUGUUACUCUAAGUAACACAAUAUAUUUAAAAAAUCCAUCUGUCAGUUUCAGAUGGAGAACUGUUUUUUUUUGCAUUGGCAGCGUCCCAAUCCACCGCAUAUGCCUAUGUCGGCCUUCCGCAUCUGCGUUGAAAGGGGGCUGAGCUACAGCAGUGUUUUCAGACCAUGAGACAUCCCGAAAAUUCGUCUUCUCAAGAAAACGUCUCUAGCGUCCGAAUGGUUUGGCCUACAACCCCCACAAGUGUCACGGGACUCGUCUUAAGCCUCCAGCAUCUCGGAUCACCGCCCAACCACCAGCUCCAAAGGCAAGUGCUUAAUUAGCCAUUUUUGACGACCCUCCCACUCUGUCUGCUGAAUUCUUUCACUUUGCUAUUUUCCUGAAUAGGAUGUCGGUGGGAGGAGCCAGGAGGUCGUCAGCCGUUCAUUGAUGAGACAAUCUCCAUGCAGACACACUUGUGUUUUGGUUGUGGCAUUUUGUGGCUUGUUUAUUUUGGCACCUCAACACCCCUCAUUAUCACCAUCUAAGUACGCAACCACUCACUCACACACCAUUGUUAAUUGUAUAUGUUUUACUUUAGUUAAGGAAUAACACUUUAUCUUCACGUUAUCUCCCUCUUUGUUUUCGGGCGACGAGCUGGUUCGUGACACAUUUUUUAAAAAAAAGUGUAUUUGUCAUCGUUUAACGUUGGAGAGUGCUAAGAUAUUAAUGUAUCAACAUUUAUACAGCCAGGACCAUCGGCAGAGGGGAUUACCCCUUUGGGAAUAAGUAAUCCCACGCUGCAGGCCUGCAGUGGAGAUGGCACCUCCAGCGUAGACAUGGUUAAAGACCUGCCUGUGUUUGGGAGGGAAGUGAUUGCUACCCAUGGAUUAUCUGGAAAUGCCAAUAGAGUGACUUUAGCAAAGCUGACCCUUGAUGAGAGAAAAGUCUAACUGAUAAUUGGUAAGGGAAACAUUUAGCUCCUAAUGCAG